rnacentral:rRNA from 1 species
CCUACGGGUGGCUGCAGUGGGGGAUAUUGCACAAUGGGGGGAACCCUGAUGCAGCGACGCCGCGUGGGUGAAGGAGUGCUUCGGCAUGUAAAGCCCUAUCGGCAGUGAAGAAGCAAGACGGUACCUGACUAAGAAGCCCCGGCUAACUACGUGCCAGCAGCCGCGGUAAUACGUAGGGGGCGAGCGUUAUCCGGAUUCACUGGGUGUAAAGGGGGCGUAGACGGCCAUGCAAGCCAGGGGUGAAAGCCCGGGGCCCAACCCCGGGACUGCUCUUGGAACUGCGUGGCUGGAGUGCAGGAGGGGCAGGCGGAAUUCCUGGUGUAGCGGUGAAAUGCGUAGAUAUCAGGGGGAACACCGGUGGCGAAGGCGGCCUGCUGGACUGCAACUGACGUUGAGGCCCGAAAGCGUGGGGAGCAAACAGGAUUAGAUACCCUUGUAGUC